GGGGGCGGCAAUGAAUCGACAGAAAAUUAACCAAAAAUAGGCAAGCCGAGUAUUCUCAAAUCUCGUAAAACUUUGAGAAAAGGAUAUAAGUGCCAACUUAUUCCAAAAACCCGCAUUAGCUUAUGCUUAAUGCCAUCUGCUUUAGUGAUUCUCGAUAGCUAAAGUCAGGUGUCAAAUUUUUCGAGAUAGAUGGUUCAUUCAAAGGUCUAGAAAAACUAUCGAAUGAAAAUAGGCCAAGGUAAAAAGAUUUUGUCUAAUUAAAACUUUUUAUCGUUUAAUAAAUUAGACUAAGCUUGUAGAUUUAUUUUUUGGCAAUAGUUCUGGACGGGAGUUCACCCUCCCCGCCUCCACAA
rnacentral:tmRNA from 1 species